ACGGUGAGGGAUGAAAGCUGGGGGAGCAAACCGGAUUAGAUACCCGGGUAGUCCCAGCUGUAAACCAUGCAAACUCAGUGAUGCAUUGGCUUGUGGCCAAUGCAGUGCUGCAGGGAAGCCGUUAAGUUUGCCGCCUGGGAGGUACGUACGCAAGUAUGAAACUUAAAGGAAUUGGCGGGGGAGCACCACAAGGGGUGAAGCCUGCGGUUCAAUUGGAGUCAACGCCU
rnacentral:rRNA from 1 species